rnacentral:lncRNA from 1 species
UGAGAGGUGGUGAUGCUGGUAUGGCAGGAUAAAACUCUCUUAAAUGGCAUGGUUGUCGUUGGUCUCGAUCAAUGCUCUUUCAAAUGGGUUCAGGGUCUUUCUUCUAACGCCAAUCUAUUGGUGCGAGAUCUGCAAGGUAUCGGGAUGCUGUAGUGGAUGGCAAGAUGGAUUCUCUUGGGAUGUAACCUAUAAAAAGUUUCUGAUCGAAGGUUGGUCCGAUGAGAACUCUCCGAUGCUCAAGUCAAAAUUCUCAUUCAACAAAUAGAGGAGCGUGAAAGGCAGAGCAACGGCAUAUCUUUUUUAGAGUCCCCUUUGGGCC